CCGGGUUCGGUUGGUAUCCUGCGUCCUACAAGCAGUCGUACGCACUGGCCCAACUGAUUGAUGGUGCUUGCACCUGAUUGACGAUGGAUUACCAGUGAGUGGCGGACGGGUGAGUAACACGUAGGUAACCUGCCCCGGAGCGGGGGAUAACAUUUGGAAACAGAUGCUAAUACCGCAUAACAACAAAAGCCACAUGGCUUUUGUUUGAAAGAUGGCUUUGGCUAUCACUCUGGGAUGGACCUGCGGUGCAUUAGCUAGUUGGUAAGGUAACGGCUUACCAAGGCGAUGAUGCAUAGCCGAGUUGAGAGACUGAUCGGCCACAAUGGAACUGAGACACGGUCCAUACUCCUACGGGAGGCAGCAGUAGGGAAUCUUCCACAAUGGGCGCAAGCCUGAUGGAGCAACACCGCGUGAGUGAAGAAGGGUUUCGGCUCGUAAAGCUCUGUUGUUGGAGAAGAACGUGCGUGAGAGUAACUGUUCACGCAGUGACGGUAUCCAACCAGAAAGUCACGGCUAACUACGUGCCAGCAGCCGCGGUAAUACGUAGGUGGCAAGCGUUAUCCGGAUUUAUUGGGCGUAAAGCGAGCGCAGGCGGUUGCUUAGGUCUGAUGUGAAAGCCUUCGGCUUAACCGAAGAAGUGCAUCGGAAACCGGGCGACUUGAGUGCAGAAGAGGACAGUGGAACUCCAUGUGUAGCGGUGGAAUGCGUAGAUAUAUGGAAGAACACCAGUGGCGAAGGCGGCUGUCUGGUCUGCAACUGACGCUGAGGCUCGAAAGCAUGGGUAGCGAACAGGAUUAGAUACCCUGGUAGUCCAUGCCGUAAACGAUGAGUGCUAGGUGUUGGAGGGUUUCCGCCCUUCAGUGCCGGAGCUAACGCAUUAAGCACUCCGCCUGGGGAGUACGACCGCAAGGUUGAAACUCAAAGGAAUUGACGGGGGCCCGCACAAGCGGUGGAGCAUGUGGUUUAAUUCGAAGCUACGCGAAGAAACCUUACCAGGUCUUGACAUCUUGCGCUAACCUUAGAGAUAAGGCGUUCCCUUCGGGGACGCAAUGACCGGUGGUGCAUGGUCGUCGUCAGCUCCUGUCCUGAAAUGUUGGGUUAAUUCCCGCAACGAACGCAACCCUUGUUACUAGUUGGCAACCAUUAAGUUGGGGCACUCUAGGGGAACUGCCGGUGACAAACCCGGAGGAAAGGGGGGGACGAAUUUCGAAUCACCAUGCCCCUUAUUACCGGGGCCCCAAAGGUGUUUUAUUGUGAAGGUAUAAAGAAUUGCCAAACCCCCCGAAAAAAACAAAUUUUUAAAAACAUUUUUUAUUUAAGAAGGGGGGGGUGUGGG
rnacentral:rRNA from 1 species